GGGCCCGUAGCUUAGCCAGGUGGAGCGUACGGCUGAUAACCGUAAGGUCCUGCGUUCGAACCGCAGCGGGCCCACCA
rnacentral:tRNA from 2 species